UAUAUACUCCCUCCGUCCGAAAAAGCUUGUCCCUCAAAUGGAUGUAUCUAGCACCAAAUUAGUGCUAGAUACAUCCAUUUGAGGGACAACUUUGAGACAAACUUUUUCCGACGGAGGGAGUAAAAG
rfam:Triticum aestivum genome assembly, contig: Triticum_aestivum_CS42_TGACv1_scaffold_591837_7BS